rnacentral:snoRNA from 1 species
GAAGCAUCUUAACAGGUUGUGGUCUCUGUAGUAGAUCAUAAUUUGGUAGCUGGUGCUGAAAUCAAUAUUCUCCCUGCAACAAUACCCACUGGCUCUUGGUAUGCCUGCUAGGGAAAAUCAGGGUGAAAACACAA